rnacentral:sRNA from 1 species
UCGCCACGAAAGAUACAAUCUUGUUGUGU